rnacentral:rRNA from 1 species
GUUACACAAAUAAUGCAAUGUUAAAUGUUUGGUUGUUAAUUAACAGAUUUUUAGGAGCUUAGAAUUGACUUUAUUAGGUGAAAUUUUAAAGUUAGUGGAAGUUUGUUUAAAGAUUGUGAAGUUAAUAAAUUUAUUUUUAAACUAGGAUUAGAUACCCUAUUAUUUUAAAAGUAAAAAAAAUUAGACCUGAUUAGUAUUAGUUAUAAUCUUGAAAAUUAAAGAAGAUGGCGGUAUUUUAGUCUGUUCAGAGGAACCUGUCCUUUAAUUGAUAAUCCACGAUUUUUUAUACUUGAAUUUAGUUUACAUAUCGUCGUAGAUUGAAUAUUUUUGUUAAAUUUUAAUAUUCAAGAUUUUUAUAAGAAAAUAUUUCAGAUCAAGGUGUAGCUUAUAUUUUAGUAGAGAUGGGUUACAAUAAAUAUAUUUAAAUGGAAAAAAAUUUGAAUAAGUUUUUAGAAAGUGGAUUUGAAAGUAAUUUUUUUAAAUUUAAUAAAAUGAUUUUAGCUCUAAAAUAUGUACAUAUCGCCCGUCGC